GUGUGUGAAUCGUAGUGCAGAGCAGGGAGUAGAGAUAACUUUUAUUUAUUUAUUUAUUUUUAAAUGACACUGAUCUCAGGUUUUGUCUGCUUGCCCAAUCAAUAAAAUACACAUUGGGUAACUUGUGGGGUUUUUUUCUCAUGAAUGACACCAGAAUCUCUGUCUGUUUUGGUUAUAAAAUUGUUGUUAGAGUGCCAGGUUACAGCAAAGAGGAUGAAAAAUUUGAUUUCUGAAGUUCACAGAAGAAAAAAUACCUAGUUUAAACACUGCUGCAGUGGAAGUAACGUCCAGCUGAGAUGGCUGGUACCACCAUAAUUAAUCUCCCCUUUGUCUGUGAGAGGAGAAGAAGAGUUACAGAUAAAGCCAGUUUCUCAGAGCAGACAGCUGACUCGAUCUGGGACUCAUUCCCAAAGAAGACAACAGAACUUUGGAGGAGUCCUGGGUCUCUACCAUGAAAAAGGAGAGUUGAAGCUGCUGUGUUGCUAGUGGGGUACCUGUUUGUGCUUUUCUGGUACAGCCUUGCUGGAUGAGUACCCAGAGAACAGUGUGGGAGAGCUCUGCAGUGUGUCUUACAGGGCAGUUUGCUCUGGUGUUAAGACUCUGUGCAGAAGAGCUUAGCAGUGACCUCGUAGUUGUGAGGACUCUUUGGAGAGGCCAGUGUACUCAUCUGCAGCUUUUGCAUGAGAUGACGAUCUGA